rnacentral:misc_RNA from 1 species
GAAAUGCGAUAAGUAAUGUGAAUUGCAGAAUUCAGUGAAUCAUCGAAUCUUUGAACGCACAUUGCGCCCGCCAGUAUUCUGGCGGGCAUGCCUGUUCGAGCGUCAUUUCAACCAUCAAGCCCCCGGGCUUGUGUGUUGGGCUUCCGUCCCUGGCAACGGGGACGGGCCCAAAAGGCAGUGGCGGCACCAUGUCUGGUCCUCGAGCGUAUGGGGCUUCGUCACCCGCUCCGUGGGACCGGCCGGCGCCAGGCUUCGUCAACCACUUCUUUUCUAGGUUGACCUCGGAUCAGGUAGGGAUACCCGCUGAACUUAA